rnacentral:rRNA from 1 species
CUACGGGAUGCUGCAGUGAGGAAUUUUGCGCAAUGGGGGAAACCCUGACGCAGCAACGCCGCGUGAGCGAAGAAGGCCUUCGGGUCGUAAAGCUCUGUCAAGUGGGAAAAAAAUUCUUUGAUGAACAGUCAAAGGACUUGAUGGUACCACUGGAGGAAGCACCGGCUAACUCCGUGCCAGCAGCCGCGGUAAUACGGAGGGUGCAAGCGUUGUUCGGAAUUACUGGGCGUAAAGAGCGUGUAGGCGGUUUGACAAGUCAGAUGUGAAAGCCCCGGGCUCAACCCGGGAAGUGCAUUUGAAACUGUUUCACUAGAGUAUGGGAGAGGAGAUUGGAAUUCCUGGUGUAGAGGUGAAAUUCGUAGAUAUCAGGAGGAACACCCGUGGCGAAGGCGAUUCUCUGGACCAAUACUGACGCUGAGACGCGAAAGCGUGGGGAGCAAACAGGAUUAGAUACCGGGUAGUC